rnacentral:tRNA from 2 species
GGAGAGGUGGGAGAGUGGCUGAAUCCACAGGUUUGCUAAACCUGCAUACGGGUAACCGUAUCACGAGUUCGAAUCUCGUUCUCUCCGCAA